rnacentral:rRNA from 1 species
AAAUUGAAGAGUUUGAUCAUGGCUCAGAUUGAACGCUGGCGGCAGGCCUAACACAUGCAAGUCGAACGGUAACAGGAAUCAGCUUGCUGAUUUGCUGACGAGUGGCGGACGGGUGAGUAAUGUCUGGGAAACUGCCUGAUGGAGGGGGAUAACUACUGGAAACGGUAGCUAA